GGCUUUGUAGUGUAGUGGUUAUCACCCGGGAUUCUGACGUUGUCAAUGAAAGAAGACUUCCCGUGACCCAGGUUCGAUCCCUGGCAAGGCCU